GAAGAUGGGCAGGUGGACACCGCCACUUGGGCAACGCGAGAUGUUUGCUCUCCUCACAAUUCACAGAGCAACUCUGAGGAUUGUGAGGAGAGAUUUAGCCCAGAGGAGAUGGAGGUGCCCUUUAUUAGCUGCCUACUAUCAGACAGAGAGGUGACUGAUAUCGGCUUGAAGCUGCCUGCUCUCCGCCAGGCGUCUGAUGUGAGUAAAAGCUUUGUGUAGCUGCUGUUAUUGCACAGGUAAAGUCCACUCUGCAUUAACUGUUCUGUCUUUAUAUUCAGACUGUGUUAGACUGCAUGCUUAAUCUGAACUUCCUGUUUCUGACCGGAAAGAAGAUUGUAAUGCAGCUUUUCUCUAAUUUAAAUAUUUCCAGCAAUUUCCCAUAUUCAGUGUAUGGCUACUUUAGUCCCUCCUUCCUUAGUUUACAUACGUUUUCCCAGUUCCCAUUAUUUUCGCAUUUGUCCCGAUACCGCCCCUAAAUUGAUACCAUCCUCCCCUUGAUGACGUCAAUUUUCCUCCUCACCAGUUCCCCUUAUUUUUAGGCUAAGUCAACCAUUUUUAUAAAAAAUUGGCGCUUACUUAUAGGCGCCACUUCCUUAUUGACUUCAUUUGACCAUCACCUCUUAAAGGUGCUUCCUCGGCUCAU